rnacentral:rRNA from 1 species
UUCGGGUUGAAACCUUUGUGGAGAAAAACAGUCCGUAGUAACCGCUGGACUGGCGGUCCCUAGUAAAAGCCCGGGCUAAUUUGUCCCAGACCCGCGGUAAUAAGUAGGGGCAAAGGUUGUUCGGAAUUAUUGGGCGUAAAGCGCGUGCAGGGGGUCUUUAAAGUCUGAUGUGAAACCCGCGGCUCCCCCGGGGAGGGUCAUUGGAAUCUGGGGGACUUGAGUGCAGAAGAGGAAAGUGGAAUUCCGAGUGUAGCGGUGAAAUGCGUAGAUAUUUGGAGGACCUCCAGUGGGAAGGAGACUCUCUGGUCUGCAUCUGCCGUUGAGGCGCGAAACCGUGGGGAGCAACCAGGAUUAGAUACCUUGGUAGUCCACGCCGUAAACGAUGAGUGCUAAGUGUUAGGGGGUUUCCGCCCGUUAGUGCUGCAGCUAACGCAUUAAGCACUCCCCCUGGGGAGUACGGUCGCAAGACUGAAACUCAAAGGAAUUGCGGGGGGCCCGCCCAAGCGGUGGAGCAUGUGGUUUAAUUGGAAGCAACGCGAAGACCCUUCCCAGGUCUUGCCAUCCCGUUGACCACUGUAGAGAUAUAGUUUCCCCUUCGGGGGCAACGGCAACAGGUGGUGCAUGGUUGUCGUCAGCUCGUGUCGUGAGAUGUUGGGUUAAGUCCCGCAAGGAGCGCCACCCUUGAUAUUAGUUACCAUCAUUUAGUUGGGCAUUCUAAGGUGACUGCCGGUGACAACCCGGAGGAAGGUGGGGAUGACGUCAAAUCAUCAUGCCCCUUAUGACAUGGGCUCCACACGUGCUCCAAUGGAGGAUCCAAGGGGUUCCCAACUCGCGAGAUGGAGCUAAUCCGAUAAACUUGUUCUCAGUUCGGAUGGUAUGCUGCAACUCGCUUACAUGAAUCCGGAAUCGCUAGUAAUCGAGGAUCAGCA